rnacentral:rRNA from 1 species
UGGGGAAUAUUGCACAAUGGGCGCAAGCCUGAUGCAGCCAUGCCGCGUGUAUGAAGAAGGCCUUCGGGUUGUAAAGUACUUUCAGCGGGGAGGAAGGCGAUAAGGUUAAUAACCUUGUCGAUUGACGUUACCCGCAGAAGAAGCACCGGCUAACUCCGUGCCAGCAGCCGCGGUAAUACGGAGGGUGCAAGCGUUAAUCGGAAUUACUGGGCGUAAAGCGCACGCAGGCGGUCUGUCAAGUCGGAUGUGAAAUCCCCGGGCUCAACCUGGGAACUGCAUUCGAAACUGGCAGGCUAGAGUCUUGUAGAGGGGGGUAGAAUUCCAGGUGUAGCGGUGAAAUGCGUAGAGAUCUGGAGGAAUACCGGUGGCGAAGGCGGCCCCCUGGACAAAGACUGACGCUCAGGUGCGAAAGCGUGGGGAGCAGACA